rnacentral:rRNA from 1 species
UUCGUUAAAAAUGGAUAAAUAAAAACUUUGCAUACAAGAAUUAAUAAAAAUGUUAUAACGAAUUUAAUUAAAUGUUUUAUCAUUAUAUAUAAAGAAUUUAUGGCAAGAUAAAGUUAUAUACAACCUCAACUCAUAUGGGACUACCCCCUGAAUUUAAGCAUAUUAAUUAGGGGAGGAAAAGAAACUAACAAGGAUUUUCUUAGUAGCGGCGAGCGAAAAGAAAACAGUUCAGCACUAAGUCACUUUGUCUAUAUGGCAAAUGUGAGAUGCAGUGUAUGGAGCGUCAAUAUUCUAGUAUGAGAAAUUAACGAUUUAAGUCCUUCUUAAAUGAGGCCAUUUACCCAUAGAGGGUGCCAGGCCCGUAUAACGUUAAUGAUUACUAGAUGAUGUUUCCAAAGAGUCGUGUUGCUUGAUAGUGCAGCACUAAGUGGGUGGUAAACUCCAUCUAAAACUAAAUAUAACCAUGAGACCGAUAGUAAACAAGUACCGUGAGGGAAAGUUGAAAAGAACUCUGAAUAGAGAGUUAAACAGUACGUGAAACUGCUUAGAGGUUAAGCCCGAUGAACCUGAAUAUCCGUUAUGGAAAAUUCAUCAUUAAAAUUGUAAUAUUUAAAUAAUAUUAUGAGAAUAGUGUGCAUUUUUUCCAUAUAAGGACAUUGUAAUCUAUUAGCAUAUACCAAAUUUAUCAUAAAAUAUAACUUAUAGUUUAUUCCAAUUAAAUUGCUUGCAUUUUAACACAGAAUAAAUGUUAUUAAUUUGAUAAAGUGCUGAUAGAUUUAUAUGAUUACAGUGCGUUAAUUUUUCGGAAUUAUAUAAUGGCAUAAUUAUCAUUGAUUUUUGUGUUUAUUAUAUGCACUUGUAUGAUUAACAAUGCGAAAGAUUCAGGAUACCUUCGGGACCCGUCUUGAAACACGGACCAAGGAGUCUAACAUAUGUGCAAGUUAUUGGGAUAUAAACCUAAUAGCGUAAUUAACUUGACUAAUAAUGGGAUUAGUUUUUUAGCUAUUUAUAGCUAAUUAACACAAUCCCGGGGCGUUCUAUAUAGUUAUGUAUAAUGUAUAUUUAUAUUAUUUAUGCCUCUAACUGGAACGUACCUUGAGCAUAUAUGCUGUGACCCGAAAGAUGGUGAACUAUACUUGAUCAGGUUGAAGUCAGGGGAAACCCUGAUGGAAGACCGAAACAGUUCUGACGUGCAAAUCGAUUGUCAGAAUUGAGUAUAGGGGCGAAAGACCAAUCGAACCAUCUAGUAGCUGGUUCCUUCCGAAGUUUCCCUCAGGAUAGCUGGUGCAUUUUAAUAUUAUAUAAAAUAAUCUUAUCUGGUAAAGCGAAUGAUUAGAGGCCUUAGGGUCGAAACGAUCUUAACCUAUUCUCAAACUUUAAAUGGGUAAGAACCUUAACUUUCUUGAUAUGAAGUUCAAGGUUAUGAUAUAAUGUGCCCAGUGGGCCACUUUUGGUAAGCAGAACUGGCGCUGUGGGAUGAACCAAACGUAAUGUUACGGUGCCCAAAUUAACAACUCAUGCAGAUACCAUGAAAGGCGUUGGUUGCUUAAAACAGCAGGACGGUGAUCAUGGAAGUCGAAAUCCGCUAAGGAGUGUGUAACAACUCACCUGCCGAAGCAACUAGCCCUUAAAAUGGAUGGCGCUUAAGUUGUAUACCUAUACAUUACCGCUAAAGUAGAUGAUUUAUAUUACUUGUGAUAUAAAUUUUGAAACUUUAGUGAGUAGGAAGGUACAAUGGUAUGCGUAGAAGUGUUUGGCGUAAGCCUGCAUGGAGCUGCCAUUGGUACAGAUCUUGGUGGUAGUAGCAAAUAAUCGAAUGAGACCUUGGAGGACUGAAGUGGAGAAGGGUUUCGUGUGAACAGUGGUUGAUCACGAGUUAGUCGGUCCUAAGUUCAAGGCGAAAGCCGAAAAUUUUCAAGUAAAACAAAAAUGCCUAACUAUAUAAACAAAGCGAAUUAUAAUACACUUGAAUAAUUUUGAACGAAAGGGAAUACGGUUCCAAUUCCGUAACCUGUUGAGUAUCCGUUUGUUAUUAAAUAUGGGCCUCGUGCUCAUCCUGGCAACAGGAACGACCAUAAAGAAGCCGUCGAGAGAUAUCGGAAGAGUUUUCUUUUCUGUUUUAUAGCCGUACUACCAUGGAAGUCUUUCGCAGAGAGAUAUGGUAGAUGGGCUAGAAGAGCAUGACAUAUACUGUUGUGUCGAUAUUUUCUCCUCGGACCUUGAAAAUUUAUGGUGGGGACACGCAAACUUCUCAACAGGCCGUACCAAUAUCCGCAGCUGGUCUCCAAGGUGAAGAGUCUCUAGUCGAUAGAAUAAUGUAGGUAAGGGAAGUCGGCAAAUUAGAUCCGUAACUUCGGGAUAAGGAUUGGCUCUGAAGAUUGAGAUAGUCGGGCUUGAUUGGGAAACAAUAACAUGGUUUAUGUGCUCGUUCUGGGUAAAUAGAGUUUCUAGCAUUUAUGUUAGUUACUUGUUCCCCGGAUAGUUUAGUUACGUAGCCAAU